UACGGAGGGGGCUAGCGUUGUUCGGAAUUACUGGGCGUAAAGCGCACGUAGGCGGCUUUGUAAGUUAGAGGUGAAAGCCCGGGGCUCAACUCCGGAAUUGCCUUUAAGACUGCAUCGCUAGAAUUGUGGAGAGGUAAGUGGAAUUCCGAGUGUAGAGGUGAAAUUCGUAGAUAUUCGGAAGAACACCAGUGGCGAAGGCGACACACUGGGCCAUUACUGACGCUGAGGCGCGAAAGCGUGGGGAGCAAACAGGG
rnacentral:rRNA from 1 species